rnacentral:rRNA from 1 species
GACGAACGCUGGCGGCGUGCUUAACACAUGCAAGUCGAACGGACAGGCCCUGCUUUUGUGGGGUGCUCGAUUGGCGAACGGGUGAGUAACACGUGAGUAACCUGCCCUUGACUUUGGGAUAACUUCAGGAAACUGGGGCUAAUAUCGCAUAUGAUCUCCUGCUGCAUGGUGGGGGUUGGAAAGUUUCGGCUGUUGGGGAUGUACUCGCGGCUUAUCAGCUUGUUGGUGGGGUAGUGGCUUACCAAGGCUUUGACGGGUAGCCGGCCUGAGAGGGUGACCGGCCACAUUGGGACUGAGGUAGGGAGCAGAAUGGAACGGGAGGCAGCAGUGGGGAAUAUUGCACAAUGGGCGGAAGCGUGAUACAACAGCGCCGGGUGCGGGAUGACGGCUUUCGGGUUGAAAACAGAUUUCGAAUGAGACAAAGAGUGAGUGACGGUAAUGGGUAAAAAAGCACCGGCUAACUACGUG